rnacentral:lncRNA from 1 species
UCAGAAACAGUAAAACUUAUUCACAACUCAAUUCAUCCUGCCAAUUCAAUCACUUCCAACCACUUCUUUCAAUCAAAAACUGCAUAAUGAUAUUUCUCAACCUUAAAUCUCAGCAUCAAUAAUCCUAGCAAGUGGAAAAACAACCAAAUUCAGCCAAUUUCAGCAAAGAACAUAAACAGAACAGCAUAAAUCAGUUUCAACCUCACAGGAAGUGUUUGCACUCAUAUUCACUCAAGUGUUUAAGGCUAUCCUGUUUCACUCAGUCAUGACAUGUCAACCUCUAUUCUUAACUUUGAAAGGACUCUAAGUGACCAUGCUCAGCUCUUUGGUUUCAUCUAGAUCAAAAGGACUUUGUUGGCUUGUAAUGUCAUGGUAUGAAGGCUUAGAAAAAAAACGCAAGGCUAUAUGGAAAUGAAGAAACUUUGAAAAAGAAAGAAGAACUCAGAACUCAGUGCAUUGUUUUUGAUAUAUUGGCCAGUCCCAUUUUUUUUCUUUCUCUGGUUUUCAACUUUUUCAGGUCUCAGUUUUCUUUCAAUUCUUUUUCCUUUUUUUUUUCUCUAUUUCAGACCUGCUCUUUUCUCUCUCUCUCUUUUUUUCAACACAACCAGAUUGCUCUUCUUAUUUUUCUUUUCUUUUUCUUGGCCUUUCUUUUUCUUUUUUGCACUCACUAAGUUCCUAGAUCCUCCAUCCCUCUCACAUGUCUCUACAGGUCAGGUAUUUGGUGGGAAAAUGGCUUGUACUGAAUGGAAACAAAGAAAAUGGCUAAGGCUCAAAGUUAAGGUACAAUGGUCAGAACUGAAAUGAUAAAACUAAAUGGUUAUGGAUGGUAAGAAACAAUGCCUAAAUCAUGUCUAGAGUCCAUCGAGAGCAAGCUUUUCACAAAGAAUCAAUGCAAAAUCAGAAUGAAAAUUAAACAUGCAUGAAAUCACACAAGAAAGAAAAAAAUUGGCCCAAGAUCUCUCCAGGUUAAUCAUUUUGCUAAAACUGACUUGCUACCUUCUUUUAUGCAAAAAUGCUUAAUUAAACUGAACUCAGAUGAAAAAAUCAAAGCUAGGACUACUUCUACUUGAAAUUAAAGCAAAGAAUUACAUUAACAGUUCUAAUUAAGAGAAAUAAAACUGAGAAAUGAGUAAAAUGAGCAAAGAAUUGAGAAAGAAAUGAAAUAGAACUCAAAAAGAAUGACCUGAACUAUAUACAACCUGUAAAAACCAAAACUGGACAGAAUGCAACCUAAAAAGAGCCUACCAAACUAAAACAGAUUUAUGUUCAAAAGAAAGAAAGCCUAAGACAAUCCUAAACAGUAACAAUGAAUGGAAAGAACCUAGGAAGCUAUUUCUAAAAAACAAAACACAAUGUUCAGAACAAAAUUUAUUAUGAAAACUGAAUCAGGAAAAUGAAAUUAGAGAAGUAAACAGAUCCUAUAAAAGAAAGAAUUCUAAAGCAAAUGCAAAUGUACAAAGGCUAAAACAUAAUGUGAAAACUAAGACAAUUACUAAUAUUUAAAACAAGAAUUAAGAAAGCUAAAAUAAGACUGUUGAUACGUGAAACUGAACUUAAAGAAGCUAAAACAGAUCAGGAAUAGAAUAAAAGAAAUCCUUCAAGCAACUAUAAACUGAAACAAAAAAAC